GAUGAACGCUGGCGGCGUGCCUAAUACAUGCAAGUCGAGCGAACAGAUGAGGAGCUUGCUCCUCUGACGUUAGCGGCGGACGGGUGAGUAACACGUGGAUAACCUACCUAUAAGACUGGGAUAACUUCGGGAAACCGGAGCUAAUACCGGAUAAUAUAUUGAACCGCAUGGUUCAAUAGUGAAAGACGGUUUUGCUGUCACUUAUAGAUGGAUCCGCGCCGCAUUAGCUAGUUGGUAAGGUAACGGCUUACCAAGGCAACGAUGCGUAGCCGACCUGAGAGGGGGAGUGGCCACACUUGAACCAGACCCCGGUCCCGACCCCGACGGGAGGGAGGAGGGGGGAAUUUUCCACAAGGGGGGGAAGGCUGAAGGAGCAACCGCGCGGGGGGGAAGAAGGUUCUCGGGUUGGAAAAACUUUUUUAUAGGGAAAAAAAAAUGGUGUAAUAAACACUGCGCGUCUGAAGGUACCCAAAACAAAACCCAGGGCUAACUUCGUG
rnacentral:rRNA from 1 species